UGGAAGAUGGCAGAGUAGUAUGCAUGGGGCUGUAGGCCCUACAACGAGCUGUAAAAGCUCUCUUCUAA
rnacentral:tRNA from 1 species